AGGGGAAUAGCUGGGUCAAAUGGUNUUCCCAGCUUUCCAAGAAAUCUCCAUACUGCUUUCCAAAUUGGCUGCACCAAUUUGCAGUCCCACCAGCAAU
rnacentral:pre_miRNA from 1 species